rnacentral:lncRNA from 1 species
UCUUCUUUACCUCCCCAGCCUUUCCUCAACCCGGUCAGGCUGGCUGCAUAGGGUGGACCCGAGAUCUUCAGGCCUCGGCAGCCUGGCCCAGCAGGAAGACAUUGAAGCUCACCAGGAGGUGGCAGGGAGUGUCCCUGGGGGAAGCUGCUGAGGCCAGUGCUCAGGAAGGAACCAGGGCUCUGUCUGAGGACCAAUUCCAUCCGGGCCUGGAUCUUCCAGAAUAGAAGUCUCCCAGCAGUGCACAUCCAGGAAGCAUCCAGGCCAGGUUGGGCAGGGUUUAAUAAGCGCUGGGCCUUUCACCUGGAUGCUGGGAAGGUGCUUGGAUCUAUGAAAACCCCAGGGUGGGGUCAGGGGCCAAUGCAGAGGUUUCCCAGAGAGCUCUGGGGCUGGGUCACUUCCCCACUGGCCAGUCUGUCAUGCUGAAUGCCCAGGACUUCCACAAUGAGUCCCAGAGGUGAGAUGACAGGGUCAGGGUCAGGGCCCACUUCUGCAGGAGUUGCCACUUACCUUGUUUGUUAGGACACAGGCAGAGUGUUGGAACAGAGAGGAUUGCCUGGAGGUUCCUAGGACCACAGCAAGAGGUGUUGUGGGGGGCUUCCCGGCUUCCCGGAGGCCCUUCUUCCCAUGACAGGAGGGACAGUGGAGAUAGCACCUACUCUGGUGACCUUGCUCUCUGCUUUUGUCUUGUGACCUGCUUGUGGGUGAGCCCUACCCCUUGGUUUCCACGUGACCCAUAAAGUCUACUCAUUUUCUGUCCAGGGUUCAGGCACAGAGAGAAAAGGCAAGGAUGUGGAGGGAGAGGAGAGUCCCUGGAAGGAAUGUCCCCAGCAUAUCAGCCUGGAGUUUCCAUUCAGGAAAUUUCCCCAGCUCCCCAGACCCUCCCAGACUUGCCUCCUCCCUCCUGACAAAGCCCCAGCCCUACCCAUAGCCCCAGCCACCACCCCCUUUGAGGAGAGAAGGUGCUGGGUUGGGUGAGGAGCUCUGCGGGAGGACUGAACCAAGCUGUGGGCUCCUGGGCACCUGCCCAUGAGCCAGGCCUGCAUCUCCCAGACCUGCUUGUGGGUGAGCCUGCAUGCUGACAUGCUUGGCUGGGCUCUAGCCUUGGCUAUUGGUGGCCCAGGGUGUGUGUGUGUGUGCGUGCAUGUGUGUGUGUGUCCCUUUGGAGCUAUGUAGUUUGUGUACCAAAAUAAGAAGGGAGCUGGGGAGUUGAGCCCUGAUGAACUUUGUAACAAUAAAGCCUUAUCUUGUUAAAUAAAUCAAGCCUUGAA